rnacentral:rRNA from 1 species
AUUGAACGCUGGCGGCAGGCCUAACACAUGCAAGUCGAGCGGUUGCAGGGAGCUUCUUGCUUCUUUCCGCGGGGGUGGGGGGAGGAAGGCCUAUGACUGGGCCUCUGCCUGGUGGAGGAGGUUCGCUAACGGGCGCGGAUACCGCAUCCGCCUUGCGUCAGAAGGUGAGGGAGCUUCGGAUCUGGCGCUAUCGGCUUCGCCUAGGUCGGAUUAGCUAGUUGGUGGGGUAAGGGCCUACCAAGGCGACGAUCCGUAACUGGUCUGAGAGGAUGAUCAGCCACACUGGAACUGAGACACGGUCCAGACUCCUACGGGAGGCAGCAGUGGGGAAUAUUGGACAAUGGGCGAAAGCCUGAUGCAGCCAUGCCGCGUGUAUGAAGAAGGUCUUCGGAUUGUAAAGUACUUUCAGCGGGGAGGAAGGGAAGUAAGUUAAUACCUUGGCGCAUUGACGUUACCCGCAGAAGAAGCACCGGCUAACUCCGUG